CACGCCCCACAUAGAAAAAGGUCACGGAGAAGUCAUGACAUGAAGGGGUGAAGGAGCUGUAUGAAUUAUCACCAUAAAUUUGACACUUGUGGCACUUUCGUGCGUAACUAAUGCAAUCCCUUUCUAUCGUCAGCUAAUAAUAACCAAGUCUCACAAUCUGCCUAGCCAUAAUGAAACCAUUAGCAUGCAUUCCACAAAUUCCUUCAUGGACAUCUUUA
rnacentral:lncRNA from 1 species